UUAUGGGUAUAGUAGGGAUUUUCGGUUGUUGUCACCGGGUACAGUCACCGGUUUCUUUUUUACUUUAUGUUCAUUUUAACCAAACUAUACAAUACAUGUGUUAUUUAGCUAGCUAGCUUAUCUAGCUACUAUGCUGAAAAAUUCCAAAGGGUUAAGAAAAGUUAAAUAUGUUACUUUACAGUAGCUAGCUAGUUAAGUAGCUAGCUAAAUAGAUUAACUAAAUUAGUUAACUAAUGAACAAGCAGUCUGUUAGCUAGUUAGCUUAGCUAGCUACGUUAGUAACUAACAUAAUUAAGUCAAAUAACAAUGAAAAAUAUAGCAUUAAUAAAACUAAAUCUGGAUUUGCUGUUAUGCAAAUGCUGUUAUGGUAACCUAGCAAGCUAGUCACUGUUCUUGUGUGAACUAACUAGUUUAGCUAGGUUAGCUGUGGUUAGCUAGCUAUGCUGUUAGCUAACCUAGCUGUUAGCUUAGCUAUGUAAUGUUAGCUAGUUGUUUAUACGUUGGAAAAUCAACAACAACAAAAAAAUCAACAAGGGGGCAGUGGUUACCUGCAAAUGUAAUUAAUUAUUUAUUUCUUAAUUUAAUAAAUUAAUAUAGUAUUUUUUUAUAUGCUGUACUAUUUAUUGUCUACUGUAGCAAUUAAACUACUGGCUGCAAAUUAGCUAUAGCUAUUUAUACAUAUUAAGACUUGAUGUGAGCAAAUUUGUGGAAAGAAACAGAACUGCAGGCAUUACAAAAGUGACUGAAAGUGGCUUAUGAGGAGCUGGGUUAUAUUGUUGGCUUAAGUUGUUGGAAAUGGAAAACUGCUGCAUGUCUAUGCCAUGGCUUUGUACGAAGAUAAAUUAGCUAAAAUGGCUUUCGUGGAGGUGGGAAGUAAGAAGUUUGAAAUUUUGGAGUUCCCAUAUGUUGUUUGCCAAUUGCAUACUCUUCCAAAUAAAGUCAGCAGGAGGAGAGGAUGUUGGUCUAAUUAGCAGCAAAAGAAUCUACCAUCUCCUCAGCACCUGUCACUGCGGGCUCAACUCUGCCGCCUGGUGGCUGGGGACAGGAAAUGAAUGUUGGAGUGCCCCUGCAUUGCUUCUGUGUAUAGUCAUGUCAUAUUUAUAUGGACACUAGAGGGUGCUCAGGGCACACUCAUGCUCAUACUAUGCUUGAAGCCAUACAACAAACCUGGGUCUAAAGAAGGCCAGAGAUGACGUUCCAACCUGCAAGAAAAUUCAAUGGGAUUUCUGAAAUCAACAUCAAAGACCAGAAACUCAUGUUGCCUGCUCCUGGAAGCAAAUGCCAAGACCACAUAUGAAACCUCUGUCCCCUUUAGGGGUCAUGAAAAAAGCAAGAUGUGGAACUCCCAUUCAUUCACAAAUGCUAGGAGACAUUUUACUGUCCUUAUUUACAACAGCAAAACAAUAAGCCAAUACACAGCUAGAAUACGCAAGGUACGUGUGUCUGAGACCUGUCUUUCCUUUUAUGUGGCUCCAAUGGGAGUUUACCUAGAAACCUAUUUGAAGUCAUUGUGCUUCCAUUCUUUUUGUGUAGUGGGCCGAAAUUUCAACGAGUGGUGAUAGUUCGCAACUACCUGUAAUAGUGGAGUACACCCUGUAAAAAGGGCACGCUGAAUGUCUGCCCGCUACGAAUAACAAUAAGCACAAUUUCCCAGUUUGCAUUGUGCUCUGUAGUCAGUGAGUGUGAGCGGGACUCUUUCUCAGUCAGACAGGGCAUUUCUUUCACUCUUCAGGUGGCACUUUACAGCUCUUUAAAGUGAAAGCAAUGAAAGGCUGUAACCGGCCAGGAGUUAUUAAGUGUUCUUGAAGGCAAGCGAUUUAACCUCUAAUGGUCUGGGUCAUCUGCUUGAGAUGAUCACACUUCCUAAUUACUUUUCGGAUUGUCGCUUGUGUUUUAGGAAUGAACACUUUAGUUAAACAGUGUUUUAGUAAGCCAUGCGCAGUAAUGGUUAACUUAUUUAUGAGCUGCCCUUCUGUGACGUCCCGUCAGAAGCCAAACGACCGGCGUAGAUGAGUUUAGUCGAUGAACCUGCGACGAAUUGGUUUCGGCGGCCUGUUAGCUGUGGUAGUGAUGCAUUGGCAGAUGCAGUCUGUGAUAAGUCGUAAUGGUGGGAGCGCCUCAGUUUGGGAAUGCACGUGGCCACAGAGUGUAGCAGCUCUGUGCUGUGAAGUCUGGAUCUAAUUAACACGGCCAAAUGGGCAUUCCCACUGCAGCAGGUGCUGAAAAAAUGUCCUAAUUGUGUAACGAUGAAUGGUUUGUGUUAAGAGGGGACAUCAUCUGUUGGCUAAGUGUGUGUGUGUGUGUGUGAGCAUGUGUAUUGUGUGUAUGUGUGUGUUAUGAGUGCAAGUAUGCAAGUCUGUAUGAAAAAGUUGAUGGGGGGGCUGUGGGGGUGGAUGGAGGGUGGGUCACAACAAGCAUCACUCAUUUACAUCAUGUAAUUUAACAGUAUAUAAAGGUACAAGAAAAAUAAAUAAGUGGUAUACAGUUUAACCCCAUUCUCAAAAAGGUGCAACGCUGUGUAAAAUGCAGAUAAAUAUGAUCUACAGUUCCAAACUUUUGUUGCUCUAAAUGAGUUAUCGUUUUCCAAGAAAUAUAUUGUGUCUCGCUUUCAUCAUCUGAUAUGUUUUCUAUGUUCUAUAGUGAUUAAAAUAUGUCGCUAUCAUUGCAUUUUGUUUUUUCCUUUAGAUAGAUUUACAUUUUACACAGCCUCUUGACAUUUCUGGAAUUAAGGUCGUACAUGCAGAACCGCGGCCAGGCCCUUGUGAGUCGAACAUUAGAACAAAAACACUAGAACACACCUUGGCUACACUUAGGCACAGCACAUUAAAUCAAUCUAACACACAGUAAUGUGUACCACAGGGAGAUCUGGAGUAUGGGAGGUGAAUUAGCACCACAGAAUGUGUGUGUGUGGUACGUUGGUUUUUAAACAGUUUUAGGACAAAAAAAAAUUAGGGCUUUUUUGGGAAAAAACUUGAGAGUGUAAGAGUGUAGGAUUGGACUUGCAGCAUUCUGGCAUUACGUAAAAACAAGUGUGUGUGUUUGUGAGUGUGUGUGUGUGUGUGUUUGUCCUUGUGUGUGUGCAAACUUCAGUCUCCAGUGUAGAUCAGUGCGCAACUUAGAAGCUCCUAAGUGUUUGCUUAUCUCCUUCCAUGAGCCAAAGCAAACUAAACCGAAGCAUCUGAAACGCAUUUUGCCGACCCUUGUUCCUCCCUUCUUUGAUAUCUGUGUCAGCUUAGGCAGAGUGAAAUCUGUCUUGUUGAAACCAAGCAGGGGUGUGGAGGAAGCUUUUCGGCUGUCCACUGUUUGCCUUCCAAGUCCUUUGUGUUAAAACAGAUGUUUAUCACCCUCCCGGCAUGUCGGAGGAAUCUCCAGACAAUUUGUCAAAAUCAUCUUUUUUGGAUGUCCGUGACUUGCAAAGUAGCGGACAGGUUGUUUUUACAGCAGUCAUGACAGCAGCCAUUGUAUAAUAGCUACUGUUCUGAAGCCUUAGCACAGCAGGGAUGGAAAGCCCAGAAUAAGGAAGCCCACAGAAUUGUCAGUUUUCCUUCUUGUCCCUCAUCUAAAUCUCCAUAAUUGUUUCUGGUUCUGGACACAUUUCACAUCACCGUUCCACUCAAACAGGCCGUUGAGUAGGAUUCUAAAGCUUCAGACAGCAUGAAGGCGAAGGUCCCUCGUUUUGGUAAGAGAAGGGGUUGAGAGCAAAUCAUUUCCCGCUCUAUUUGUACAAAACAAUUUCCCCAAAUAAUCACUUUUUUCCUCUCUUUAAUUUAAUGAUGUGUCCCUUUUGUGAGGCAAGGGACACAUCCCAAGUGACUACACAGACUCAUUGUAAUACUCCCAGUUCACUUUUUCAAAGUAAGCCUAAUAACAUGUCUUUAUACCCAGCAGGGGCCUUUUCAUGUUGUAUUUAUGAGCUAGCUGCGCUUUACAUAUUCAUUCUCAGGGUGUUAAACAAUUGCCGGCGGGUUGCCUCUCUGUCCCCAAAGCUUUUGCAAAGCCACCUACCACUCUGGGUCACAGCUGUGGGACUGGACUGGCGCAUCAUUCAACCGGUGGAUGACAGGACUUCGCCACUCUACUGCUACUCCUUAACCACACUGACUAGUUGCAACAUGUAAAAUACACUCUAGCAUAGUUUAUUACACUGUAGCUGUAGACUGCAGUUGGGGAUCCUUGUUAGGACUGUCUCUUUUUUAGCAGUCUACUGGUCACAAAAAAUAAAUGUCUGAAGAUGCUUUGUGGCAACAUCACCAAAAAGAUCCUACCCCUAGCAAGUUUGAAGCGUGAAAUGUAUAUACUUGUUCAUUUCUUCACAGAAAUGGAUUAUAAUUGUUAAAACUAACAUUUUAAAAUGAUCUCUGCUCCUGAAUAGUAGGUUUUCCUAAUUUUAUCAUAUUGCGUUUUUUUUUAUUUUUCCCUUUGGGUAAUUCAGGGUCUGGAAGGAUACAUCAGUUGUGUCCUCAAAGUCUCAAAGUUCUCUGAACAUCAGACUGUAUGCAGCAAAGGGCUCUUCAGGUCCUUUGGAACAGCCUUCUAUGACGUACCAGCCGUGAAGUGUACUCUACUUUGACUGCAGCAUAGGCUUUGAAACAUCAGAACCAAAAUGAAUAGAUUUUGACUGUCUGCGCUUAGACUUUGUGUUCUUGGACUUCUUGGAAAAAGAGUAUAGUAGAGCAAUUUCAAAUUUUUAAUGUUUUCUUUUUUCUUUUCUUGUUUUCUCAUUAAGGAAUUGGAAAUAUUCUUUAGAGAACCUAAAGCACUUCUCUUUAUUUUUCUGAGCGUGUAUCUGUCGCCAAGUUCUCCUUAAGGACUGCUUCAUAGGGGACACAGUGACGUGAAAGCGACAUCCACAAACACGCAAACGGAGGCCAGGAGACGCUCUAGCCCGGUCUGGCUGAAGGCUUGGAGGGGGUGGGCUGCUGUAACAGCGCAGGCUUCAGCUUUACAGACCUCGUUGAACACAAACAGGGCAUCCCCAGGCUCCGGGAAACAGGCAGGCUGAUAGAAGGCCAGUGAUUGAUAAGUCUCCCCUGCUAGCACUUCGACAGCUCAUGUCGAGGAUCCAGUGAGUUUCGUAUCAAAUGUAUCAACUGCUCGCCAAAACAGCUCUUAUUUCAAUGACUACCCCCCUCCACCCCAUUCCCCCUCCCUGUCGCCAUUGCCAAUACAUCAAAACUCCCAUUCAGCCUCUCCAUUUGUUAUCCGCAUCUAUUUCCUGUCAAUAUAGUGUCAGUAAUAAAUCAUGUCCUGAUAAUGAUGGAAAGCCAUAAA